rnacentral:rRNA from 1 species
UUGGGGGAAGUGGCGACGGGUGAGUACACGUGGGCAAUCUGCCCUUCACUCUGGGACAAGCCCUGGAAACGGGGUCUAAUACCGGAUACGAGUUCGGGAGGCAUCUCCCGGGCUGGAAAGCUCCGGCGGUGAAGGAUGAGCCCGCGGCCUAUCAGCUUGUUGGUGGGGUAAUGGCCUACCAAGGCGACGACGGGUAGCCGGCCUGAGAGGGCGACCGGCCACACUGGGACUGAGACACGGCCCAGACUCCUACGGGAGGCAGCAGUGGGGAAUAUUGCACAAUGGGCGAAAGCCUGAUGCAGCGACGCCGCGUGAGGGAUGACGGCCUUCGGGUUGUAAACCUCUUUCAGCAGGGAAGAAGCGCAAGUGACGGUACCUGCAGAAGAAGCGCCGGCUAACUACGUGCCAGCAGCCGGGGUUAAUACG